rnacentral:rRNA from 1 species
UAAUACGUAGGUGGCAAGCGUUGUCCGGAAUUACUGGGUGUAAAGGGAGCGUAGGCGGGGUGUCAAGUUGAAUGUUAAAUCUAUCGGCUCAACCGGUAGCUGCGUUCAAAACUGGCACUCUUGAGUGGAGUAGAGGUUGGCGGAAUUCCUAGUGUAGCGGUGAAAUGCGUAGAUAUUAGGAGGAACACCAGUGGCGAAGGCGGCCAACUGGGCUUUAACUGACGCUGAGGCUCGAAAGCGUGGGUAGCAAACAGG